ACCAACUAUGCCGCUGGACAACGCUGAUGAAUUUGCUCAACAACUUAUCAAACACAACAAGCAACGUACAAAGUUGGAGGAUCUUACAAUGUAUUUGUGUCCAAAUGGUCACCCAUACGUUCUUGGAAAUUGCGGCCAACCCUGGGUAGAAAUGCGUUGUAAUGAAUGUGAGGAAACAAUAGGUGGAAAAUUCCACAAACUUACUGAAGGAAACACG